rnacentral:rRNA from 1 species
AAUCAACGCUGGCGGCGUGCCUCAGACAUGCAAGUCGAACGCGAAACCUUCCUUCGGGAGGGGAGUAGAGUGGCGCACGGGUGAGUAACACGUAGGUAAUUUGCCUUCGGGUGGGGAAUAACAGCCGGAAACGGCUGCUAAUACCGCAUAAUGCAGCGGCUCGACAUCGAGACAGUUGUUAAAGCGGGGGAUUCGCAAGAACCUCGCGCCUGAAGAGAAGCCUGCGGCAGAUUAGCUAGUUGGUAGGGUAAUGGCCUACCAAGGCGACGAUCUGUAACCGGCCUGAGAGGGCGGUCGGUCACACUGACACUGACA